rnacentral:misc_RNA from 1 species
UCCGGUUUGUCACCGGCAGUCUCCCAUGAGUCCCCAACCUAAUGCUGGCAACAUGGAACGGGGGUUGCGCUCGUUGCGGGACUUAACCCAACAUCUCACGACACGAGCUGACGACAGCCAUGCAGCACCUGUGCACGGACUCCGAAGAGGAACCGAUGUUUCCACCGGCUUUCCCGUGCAUGUCAAGCCCAGGUAAGGUUCUUCGCGUUGCAUCGAAUUAAUCCACAUGCUCCGCCGCUUGUGCGGGCCCCCGUCAAUUUCUUUGAGUUUUAAUCUUGCGACCGUACUCCCCAGGCGGGAUGCUUAAUGCGUUAGCUGCGCCACUGACAGGCAAGCCUGCCAACGGCUAGCAUCCAUCGUUUACGGCGUGGACUAC